CCGCACUGACCUUCCUGCCCAGGAGAGGCAGGGAGCUUGGCCCCGAGCAAAGCAGGAACUGCGGAGUGCUUACCCCCAAAAGGCAAGGUUCAAACUGGGAAGCAGGAGAAAAUCCAGAGUCCCAGAGCUGAGCGUGUGCUGGGGAACAUCUCCUUAGACCUUGCAGUAUCCCAGCCAUGCAGUGCCAUGCUGACCAUAAACACCUGCACAGACAGCCUUUGGAAGGAGCUCCAGUUCUUAUAGGAGUCACUCAUCCAUUUGGACAAAAACAUUAUUUACACAGCAGGCGCUGAAGAAGGGCUCAAGUCCCUUUGUCCCAGAACCUGGCUGAAGUUUCAAGACAGCCCUCAAUAAAAGCAAAACAAAC